rnacentral:rRNA from 1 species
GACGAGGGGUCCUAGCGUUGUUCGGAAUCAUUGGGCGUAAAGCGUGUGUAGGCGGCCUUGUAAGUCAGGUGUGAAAGCCCCGGGCUCAACCCGGGAAGUGCAUCUGAUACUGCUUGGCUUGAGUACUGGAGAGGAUAGUGGAAUUCCUGGUGUAGUGGUGAAAUACGUAGAUAUCAGGAGGAACACCGGUGGCGAAGGCGGCUAUCUGGCCAUGUACUGACGCUGAGACACGAAAGUGGGGAGCAAACAGGAUUAGAUACCCUCGUAGUCC